UACAGAGGGUGCGAGCGUUAAUCGGAAUGACUGGGCGUAAAGGGCGCGUAGGCGGUUAUAUAAGUGAGAUGUGAAAUCCCUGGGCUUAACCUAGGAAUUGCAUUUUAGACUGUAUGGCUAGAGUGCAGUAGAGGGUGGUGGAAUUUCCGGUGUAGCGGUGAAAUGCGUAGAGAUCGGAAGGAACAUCAGUGGCGAAGGCGGCUUCCUGGUCUGCGACUGACGCUGUGGCGCGAAAGCUAGGGGAGCAAACGGG
rnacentral:rRNA from 1 species